GUGUUGGCGGAGGAGCAGCGGACGGAGUCACAUCAUGGUCACCGGGGCAGCUUAUGUUCUCCUUGCCUCCACUGUCCCCAGACAACAAGAAGGAAGGAAGCAGAGAGUGGCGGAGACGCGGGCCAUUGUCUGAGGGGCCAAGAAUGAAGAGCCUCUACUUGUGCCUUGAGGUUCAGCUUAAGAGCAAUAGACUUGAGCCCCCCUAGUGUCUCCUCCAGGUACAUAUUGCCCACCCACUGGUACAUGUUCUUCUGGACCCGAGCAGCCAUGUUGAGGCUCUCCAGCACAUUGAUGAUGUCAUAUACACGCCGCCUCUCUGUGCCCAGAGUUAUGGCCACCUCAUCAAUCACCAUCCGGCGUGGCGUCUCCAGGAAUGAGACCUCUAAUGGAAAGUGUUCCAGGAACCUGAAGGAAACGAGAAUGUGUUCAGUGUUCAUCUAAUCAAGUGGUUAGAUAUUAAGUAUAAUAACAAAAGCAAAAUUUUCUUACUUUUCACUGAGUAGCCCUAAAGAUUUAUCCUUUCUUGAGCCUUCUGAGGGGCGAGCAAUGACCUCAUCAAGGGGUGGCAGGUGACCCACACCCUCUAGCCCCUGGGAGUGACUGUCUGUGCUGCUGUGCUUUUUGAGGGUGGUCUUUUCACCAGUCAUGGCUUUGCUACUGGCUUGCUGAGUGCUCAAGCCAUCACUGUUGUAUCGCUGCAGCCUUUGUUUCUGGCGAGGUCUAGUUUGGGAUGGAACCUUUUUUCUUAUUGUGGUACCUUUGCUAUUGAACAACAUUUUCUUACUAGUGAAGGACUCCUCCAUUGAAGCAAUACGUGUGAGCAGCUUAAGGUUACUUGUGGGUGUGAGUGGACUCCUCCCCAGGACCUUCUCCUGUCCUGGACUUGGGGCCUCCAUCAGGGGAGAUGAGUGUUGGACAGACUUGCUACAACCAUUUGGAGAAGGAAAAAUAAGAUGGUCUAAACCCAUCAAAGAGGAAAGAACUUGAUAUUUCAAUAAAAAAAAAAAAAUGUAUGGUAAAUUAAAGAUUAAAACUGAUGAAUAGGAAAACUGA